rnacentral:piRNA from 1 species
UCAGGUGGUCGACCAUCAUUGUCUCUGCCUU